UACGUAGGGUGCAAGCGUUGUUCGGAUUUACUGGGCGUAAAGGGCGCGUAGGCGGCGUGACAAGUCACUUGUGAAAUCUCCGGGCUUAACUCGGAACGGUCAAGUGAUACUGUCGUGCUAGAGUACAGAAGGGGCAACUGGAAUUCUCGGUGUAGCGGUGAAAUGCGCAGAUAUCGGGAGGAACACCAGUGGCGAAGGCGGCACUCUGGGCCGGAACUGACGCUGAGGAGCGAAAGCGUGGGGAGCGAACAGG
rnacentral:rRNA from 1 species